CUACCAUGGCGUUUACGGGUAACGGAGGAUUAGGGUUCGAUUCCGGAGAGGGAGCCUGAGAAACGGCUACCACAUCUAAGGAAGGCAGCAGGCGCGUAAAUUACCCAAUCCUGACUCAGGGAGGUAGUGACAAGAAAUAACGGACCGUUCGCCAUCUGGCGUCGGGACUGCAAUGAGCCGAAUUUACACCCCUUAGCGAGGACCAAUUGGAGGGCAAGUCUGGUGCCAGCAGCCGCGGUAAUUCCAGCUCCAAUAGCGUAUAUUAAAGUUGUUGCAGUUAAAAAGCUCGUAGUUGGAUUUCUGCGAGGGUGCCAAUGUCCGCCGACGCGCGUGCGCAGCGGCGCCCUCGCAUCCUUCUGUUACCACCUCUCGGCAUUCACUUGCCGGUGGUCGGCUCAGAGAAUUUACCUUGAGAAAAUUAGAGUGUUUCAGGCAGGCUAGGCCGGAAUACAUUAGCAUGGAAUAAUGGAAUAGGACUACGGUCUCGUUGUUGGUUUGAGGGACUGCAGUAAUGAUUAAUAGGGAUAGUUGGGGGCAUUAGUAUUUAAUUGUCAGAGGUGAAAUUCUCAGAUUUGUUAAAGACUAACUUAUGCGAAAGCAUUUGCCAAGGAUGUUUUCAUUAAUCAA
rnacentral:rRNA from 1 species